rnacentral:rRNA from 1 species
UACAGAGGGUGCAACCGUUGCUCGGAAUCACUGGGCGUAAAGGGCGUGUAGGCGGGCAGGUAAGUCGGGCGUGAAAUCCCUGGGCUCAACCCAGGAACUGCACUCGAAACUACUUGUCUUGAGUGUCGGAGAGGAAAGCGGAAUUCCUGGUGUAGAGGUGAAAUUCGUAGAUAUCAGGAGGAACACCAGUGGCGAAGGCGGCUUUCUGGACGAUAACUGACGCUGAGACGCGAAAGCGUGGGGAGCGAACAGG